rnacentral:lncRNA from 1 species
UCUGUUGGGUGAGCCCCCUGCAGAGACCUUUCCAGCUGCAGACACCAGCCUCACCCAAUGGCCACUCUUUCCUGGCAGCCCUCACCCCUGGCUGACCCAAGAGUGCAGAAAGGUUUGGCUGUCCUGGCUCCACUAGGAACAGAUCUUGAGGGCGGUUCCAGCUCUGGGACACAUGAGGAAGUGGAGCAUGGCAGCUUAACCUCUCCCUCCAUCCAGUCCUGCCUUCUCCCUGCCCUUCCUUCCACAGGCACUGAUGCCCACGCCCACCCUCAGAACUGUCCUCCAAGUCUGCCUCCUGCACCCUAACCGGAGGCACAUCUUGAGGCAACGUCACCUUGAUGAAGUGUCCUCAUCACCCUGGCAUCAGCCAGGCGACAGUGUCCCCGCCCCUUGCUUCUGGAAUGACAGCAAACUGUCGCCUCCCUCGCGGGGCAGGGUCUGCCUGUCUUCAGUCCCUGGGCUGCCUGGAGAAUAAUCACUCACUCUCCCUCUCUGCACCUUUUGCUCUGCCAGGCUUGGACAUUUAUUCAAGCAGGGUUUUAUUUUUUCACUUCUGUUUGCCUAUGUUAAC